rnacentral:rRNA from 1 species
UGCGUAGGCGGCGCCGUAAGUCAGAUGUGAAAUCCCAGGGCUCAACCCUGGAACUGCAUUUGAUACUGCGGUGCUCGAGGACUGGAGAGGAGAUUGGAAUUCACGGUGUAGCAGUGAAAUGCGUAGAUAUCGUGAGGAAGACCAGUGGCGAAGGCGAAUCUCUGGACAGUUCCUGACGCUGAGGCACGAAGGCCAGGGGAGCAAACG